rnacentral:rRNA from 1 species
CCUUUGUUGUUAAAACUACCUUGUUGCUUUGGCGGGACCGCUCGGUCUCGAGCCGCUGGGGAUUCGUCCCAGGCGAGCGCCCGCCAGAGUUAAACCAAACUCUUGUUAUUUAACCGGUCGUCUGAGUAAAAAUUUUGAAUAAAUCAAAACUUUCAACAACGGAUCUCUUGGUUCUCGCAUCGAUGAAGAACGCAGCGAAAUGCGAUAAGUAAUGUGAAUUGCAGAAUUCAGUGAAUCAUCGAAUCUUUGAACGCACAUUGCGCCCCUUGGUAUUCCGAGGGGCAUGCCUGUUCGAGCGUCAUUACACCACUCAAGCUAUGCUUGGUAUUGGGCGUCGUCCUUAGUUGGGCGCGCCUUAAAGACCUCGGCGAGGCCACUCCGGCUUUAGGCGUAGUAGAAUUUAUUCGAACGUCUGUCAAAGGAGAGGAACUCUGCCGACUGAAACCUUUAUUUUUCUAGGUUGACCUCGGAUCAGGUAGGGAUACCCGCUGAACUUAAGCAUAUCAAU